UGUUCAUGUACUCUGCGUUGCAUUGUGCAUAAGAACAGCCCUUAGCCGUGGUAUAUUGGCCAUAUACCACACCUCCUCAGGCAAUAUUGCUUAAGUACACCCUCAUAUAUCAAGAAUAUCAAGUAUAACUGAAAUUAAUGAAAAACUAAAUAAAUUGUUUAACUAAAUGCAACCACAGCAUAUGGCAGCUCUAUAAAUUGGCCCAUAGCAUGAUCAAUAGUGGAAUCUGUUUAGGUAGGGUUUCCAUGUCUUGUUACUGUAAUUGAUGACAACCCCUCAUGGCGGUCCAUUUGUUAAAAAUGUUCCCAGAACCAGGUGCCAGUCAACAGGAAUGGCCAAAGUGCCGUGGUGUUUGGCUCUGCUAUGUACAUCUACGGGGGAUACAUUGACAUGAUAGGCUCAUCACAGGAGUUUUGGAAGUUAGAUUUUGACACCAAGUUGUGGACCCUGCUGGACUGCAUCCAGAUGGAGGUGGGUCCUGGACCCAGACACAGCCACUCUGCCAUGACCGUCCUGGACUGCAUGUACCUGUUUGGGGGUCUGAGGGGCCUGAGUGAGCAGAGGGACCUGUGGAGGUGGAACUCCACAUGUCACUCCUGGAGCUGUCUCAAAGCCAUAUCACCCAGUAGUGCUAUCUGCAGAGUUAACUCCAGCAAACCUCUCACCCACAAGACGAAAUACACGCUGUCUGCCAUCUAGCCAGUACAGUUGAUACCGGGAUUCAUCUAUGAAGAGCACACUUCUCCAGCAUGCCAUUGGCAAUCGCAGCUUCACCACCCAGACCUGGGUGAAGCGAGCCGUGCUACCCAGCUCCAACCCUCCACCCCACAGGAUCUACCACUGCUGUGCUGGCCUAGGCCCCAGCUACCAACCUGUCGUGACCACCACCACCAGCACCACCCUGACCCCCAGCAUCACCAUCAGAAACAGUCUGGACAGCAAUCUACAGUCAUUCCAAAACAAAUGCUUCCCUUCCUCCUCAGAGUUAGAGGGCACUAUAGAGCUACGUUAAGUAGCUCAGAAAAGCUAUUGACUGAACUGGGGGACUAUUGUAAUGGUCUAAGUGGGAACAAUGCAGAUAAAGUUGAAUCAUAAAGUUACUGAUCCCGUCCCCCAUGUCAAACACUUGGAUUCUGAAGGUGGGAUUUUUAAGGGGAUAGGGUAACAUCACACUAACUCUUAUUUUAAUACACUAUUGGUAACAUGAUAUUAUAUUACCUAGCUUAAAUAAGUAACGCCUUGUAAGCAACAUCAGAGAAGGCGUGUUUGCAGAGGGGUCGUAGUUUAUAAAGCUAGAUAGCUACUCUACUGGUGCCAAAAUUGGACUGUAUGGUGUCAGCAAAUGUAAUUAAAAGAUGACACUUCACCUAUGGCAAUGAUACUUAUAUGUUUCCCCUUUCAUCUGUGUCUGGUGUUAACUAGUUAAUGGCUAGCUAGAUCUUCAUCUGUGUCUGGUGUUAACUAGUUAAUGGCUAGCUAGAUCUUCAUCUGUGUCUGGUGUUAACUAGUUACUGGCUAGCUAGAUCUUCAUCUGUGUCUGGUGUUAACUAGUUACUGGCUAGCUAGAUCUUCAUCUGUGUCUGGUGUUAACUAGUUACUGGCUAGCUAGAUCUUCAUCUGUGUCUGGUGUUAACUAGUUAAUGGCUAGCUAGAUCUUCAUCUGUGUCUGGUGUUAACUAGUUACUGGCUAGCUAGAUCUUCAUCUGUGUCUGGUGUUAACUAGUUAAUGGCUAGCUAGAUCUUCAUCUGUGUCUGGUGUUAACUAGUUAAUGGCUAGCUAGGUCUUCAUCUGUGUCUGGUGUUAACUAGUUACUGGCUAGCUAGAUCUUCAUCUGUGUCUGGUGUUAACUAGUUACUGGCUAGCUAGAUCUUCAUCUGUGUCUGGUGUUAACUAGUUACUGGCUAGCUAGAUCUUCAUCUGUGUCUGGUGUUAACUAGUUACUGGCUAGCUAGAUCUUCAUCUGUGUCUGGUGUUAACUAGUUACUGGCUAGCUAGAUCUUCAUCUGUGUCUGGUGUUAACUAGUUAAUGGCUAGCUAGAUCUUCAUCUGUGUCUGGUGUUAACUAGUUACUGGCUAGCUAGAUCUUCAUCUGUGUCUGGUGUUAACUAGUUAAUGGCUAGCUAGAUCUUCAUCUGUGUCUGGUGUUAACUAGUUAAUGGCUAGCUAGGUCUUCAUCUGUGUCUGGUGUUAACUAGUUACUGGCUAGCUAGAUCUUCAUCUGUGUCUGGUGUUAACUAGUUACUGGCUAGCUAGAUCUUUAUCUGUGUCUGGUGUUAACUAGUUAAUGGCUAGCUAGAUCUUCAUCUGUGUCUGGUGUUAACUAGUUAAUGGCUAGCUAGGUCUUCAUCUGUGUCUGGAGUGAACUAGAUAACGGCUAGCUAGGUCUUCAUCUGUGUCUGGUAUUAGCUAGUUAAUGGCUAGCUAGAUCUUCAGCCAGCAUGGAACAAGAUGGUUGUUGAAAACUCUGACGCAGUUGUCAUGUCAACACAUCUGUCAGUGCUGCUGUGAACUGCGUCAAUAAAAGACAUGCCAAAAGGGAGAUGUGUACAUAUAGAUUUUCCAUAAUUGAUGCAAUUUCAAUGUUUGUUGCUUUGCUUAUUUCCAAUUUGUUUUUAUACGUUUUUACUGAAACACUGUCAGUCAAAGUGAGCUCAUGAUUAUUGGCUCCCCGCUCACUUAGCCUCCUUUCAAAAAUGGUUGUGUGCAUUUCUUUCCCC